rnacentral:tRNA from 1 species
GGGAAAGUGGCUGAGAGGUCAAAGGCGCCAGACUGUAAAUCUGACGAACGCUUCGUUCUUCGCAGGUUCGAAUCCUGCCUUUCCCA